GCCAAUGUAUCAGAGGCCAUUUAUGAGGGGCAAAUUGUACAUUCGUUUCGUCGUUGAAUUCCCAGAUUCAUUGAACACAGAACAGGUGAAGGCUCUGGAGGCAAUCUUACCACCAAGACCUCAGUCACAGUACACAGACAUGGAAUUGGAUGAGUGUGAGGAGACUUCUUUACAUGAUGUGAAUAUUGAGGAGGAAAUGAGAAGGAAACAGGCAGCUCAACAAGAGGCAUAUGAUGAGGAUGAUGAGAUGCAUGGUGGUGGAGGACAGAGAGUACAAUGUGC
rnacentral:lncRNA from 1 species